CCUACGGGCGACAGCAGUCGAGAAUCAUUCACAAUGGGGCAAACCCUGAUGGUGCGACGCCGCGUGGGGGAAUGAAGGUCUUCGGAUUGUAAACCCCUGUCAUGUGGGAGCAAAUUAAAAAGAUAGUACCACAAGAGGAAGAGACGGCUAACUCUGUGCCAGCAGCCGCGGUAAUACAGAGGUCUCAAGCGUUGUUCGGAAUCACUGGGCGUAAAGCGUGCGUAGGCUGUUUCGUAAGUCGUGUGUGAAAGGCGCGGGCGCAACCCGCGGACGGCACAUGAUACUGCGAGACUAGAGUAAUGGAGGGGGAACCGGAAUUCUCGGUGUGGCAGUGAAAUGCAUAGAUAUCGAGAGGAACACUCGUGGCGAAGGCGGGUUCCUGGACAUUAACUGACGCUGAGGCACGAAGGCCAGGGGAGCGAAAGGGAUUAGAUACCCGGGUAGUC
rnacentral:rRNA from 1 species